GAUGAACGCUGGCGGCGUGCCUAACACAUGCAAGUCGAGCGUGAACCCUUAGAAUGAAACUUCGGUCGAAUGAAGAGGGGGAAAGCGGCGGACGGGUGAGUAACGCGUAGGCAACCUGCCCCGUACAGAGGGAUAGCCUCGGGAAACCGGGAUUAAAACCUCAUAAUACCAUGGUAUCACAUGAUGCAAUGGUCAAAGAUUUAUCGGUAUGGGAUGGGCCUGCGUCUGAUUAGCUGGUUGGUGGGGUAACGGCCUACCAAGGCAACGAUCAGUAGCCGACCUGAGAGGGUAAUCGGCCACAUUGGAACUGAGACACGGUCCAAACUCCUACGGGAGGCAGCAGUGGGGAAUAUUGCACAAUGGGCGAAAGCCUGAUGCAGCAACGCCGCGUGAGCGAAGAAGGCCUUUGGGUCGUAAAGCUCUGUCGGGAAGGAAGAUAAUGACGGUACUUCCCGAGGAAGCCCCGGCUAACUACGUGCCAGCAGCCGCGGUAAAAGUCAACGUCG
rnacentral:rRNA from 1 species